AGAGAGAGAGAGAGACAAAGAAGAAAGGAUAGAAAGAAAAAGAGAUAAAUAUAUUGCUGCUGGUUUUUAAAUUAUUCUUUAAAUUAUUUUUUAUUUUU
rnacentral:ribozyme from 13 species